CUACGCUGAUCAGCUGGGUUUUACCUACCCACCUCCCCAGGAAGACAUGAAAAGGAAGAAUAUACAAAAGACAACAUCAGAAUGAUGCUCCAGUUUUCUGGCAUCUACAUUUAUACAAAGACAUGGAGAUUUUUUUUCAAAGGGAUACAGACCAUGAAAUCCCACCAACAUACCUGUAAGAAUUACUUCUGUGAAAUCAGAUGUGGCCAUAUGUGCAUCAGAGCCCUCAGCUAAGUCUGUGGUAAGAGACCAGAUGAAGGAAC